GCCUUUCCUGGGCGGCUGAGCCAAGGACGCGGGAGGAAGGAGCAGUGUCCUCAGGAGGGACCCGGACGGAUCUGCGGAAAUCCUGCCCCCUGCUGCCGUGGGAUGGCUGGGUUCUUCUGACUUCAGCCAUGCGCAGGGCACCCUCUGGUUCCAGGCCCAGAAAACGGCUCUACCCAGACUACUGUUAAC